CAGUCUGAGGUAGUUGUGAGAAAGGAGGGCAUCACUGGCAGUGGAAAAAUCCUGUCAGAAAAUGGAGGUGCCACUGAGAGCAGCUGACAGGCAGUGGCUGUGUGUGAGAGCCACUCAGUAAAAGUCUAUAAAGUGCUACUUUUAUUUUGCGACUGCUGCAGCGCUGGAAGCAGAGUGGGUGUCUACACGUCAUCACGCCAGCUGAACGGACCGGCGCGACGUCACUUCCGGUGAGACGGAGUGCAGCGGCCGGGAUCCGAGCAGCGUGGGGAACGCCGGCGGGAGGAGUCAUUCUGAAAUUAAGCACCUCUGUACCACUACCCGUUUGCAGCACACACUCAACGGCUGGUGAGUUGUAUGAAACCCGACUCCGCUCAAGUUCCACUCCAUGACCAGUGUACAUGUAACAGAGAAGAAAAAGAUGAAGAAGAAGAUUAAUAGAUACUUGAAGAGCUAUCUGAAUACACUACUACUACUACUACUACUACUACUACUACUACUACUACUACUACUACUAUUGCUAAUGCCAUGAAACCCACCACAUAUAAAAUUACAAUCUGCAAGAAAAAGUCUGCAUAUUAUCCCCAAGAUAAUAUAGGCCCAUAAGUACAGGUAUUUAUGAAUCUGGCAUCUCUUCGUUUUCCCGACGUACUUGAGACCACAGGUGCAUUCUAGAAGAUACACAACCAUACACCUCUGUACCACUACCCGUUUGCAGCACACACUCAACGGCUGGUGGGUUGUAUGAACUUGACUCCGCUGAAGCUCCACUCCAUGACCAGUGUACAUGUAACAGAGAAAAAAAAGAUGAAGAAGAAGAUGAAUAGAUACUUGAAGAGCUAUCUGAAUACACUACUACUACUACUACUACUACUACUACUACUACUACUACUACUACUAUUGCUAAUGCCAUGAAACCCACCACAUAUAAAAUUACAAUCUGCAAGAAAAAGUCUGCAUAUUAUCCCCAAGAUAAUAUAGGCCCAUAAGUACAGCUGUACAGCGGGCACAGGCAGCUGCACAGGGGUGAUAUGUCCUCCUUAUCAGGAGACCUGAGCUGAGCCUCUCUUACAAGCCCAAGUUGAGGUAAUUAUUACCCACCCCGACAAGUCGGCACCCCUGGAGAUUGUGUGUGUCUGGGUGAUGCUAGGAUGGGGUGUUGGUAGGGAAUGCAAAUGGAGGUGGGUACCAUCAACUAUCCCACCUCCAUGCUCCUAGUAUGAACUUAUGCCCCUGCUGGAUCCCAUACAAUUUAACACAUUCACAAUUGAGCAAUUAUGAUUAUAUUUAUCUGAAAUACCAGAACUGUUACAAUACGUUGCUCCUCAUUUGGGGUAUUGUGUUUGUAUCUACCUUUACAAGCUAUGUGAAAUUGUUACCAUUUACCCAGGGUACAGUGAAUUGAUCCACUGUGCUCAGUGAGAUUGUUCUCUCCAACUGUGACAAAUGAUGCGGUUUCUCAUGCAAUAUAUUGUAUAUACCCAUCAAUACUGUAAAUCACUAACACCAGGCAUUUGGACAUAUCUAUCACUAAUUGCGGACUCUUAAGUCGGGUACACAAUGGGCGACCUCAGCUAAUUAGCAAUCAGCGUUAUAUUGCUGAUUGCUCAUUAGGGGAGAUAGCCAGUGCAUACACACUGAACAACAUCGAUGUACGAUAUUGUUCAGUCACGUUAUCCCCCUCACUCCCCGAACAUGCUGCUCAAAGAUAUAGUUAACAUUGAGCUGCAUGUUCGGUAAAUCAUCGAUACACACUGGACGAUAUGACCGAUAGAUCUUUUUAAAAGAGAUCGUUAUUGUUCAUAUUGUCCAGUGUGUCGCCCAAUGUGUAAGGGGCUUUACCCUCAUAUUUGCUUCUGGGCAAUUUUCUUUAUUGUUAUUGUGAAUCAGCCUUAUAAUGGACACAUAAUCAUUCAAUUCAGAUGACAACACAUUAGGAGGAAUUAUCCUGAAGAGGGUAAGAUUACUGUGUAAUAUAUCAUUCUGAUAAAUUAAGUGUAAUCUUGUCUUCAUUGAAAUUUAUAAGCAUCCGUUUUUAGUACCCCAAGAUUUAUAAUAUUGUGUGCCUCCUGACAGCACAAAAACAGACAGAUGUAGCUACGCUCAUCCAUCCUCUGU